GCCACUGACGAUAGCACGUUGAAAGCACCAGUUCAAAAUAGAACACUGAAGUUAAACAACGUUGGAAUUGGUUGAUAUUCGGAUGGGUGACCAUUUGGGCAAUCAAGUGCUACUGGCU
rnacentral:rRNA from 1 species